AAAAUUUAUUUUUAUUAUUAAAAAAGAAAAAAUUUUAUUUAUUAUAGUUUAUUAGUAUUAUAAAAGAAAUUUUUAUAUUUAUUAUUAAGAAUAAUUAAUUUUUUUUACCUUGUGUAUCAGGGUUUAUUAAAUAUUUUUAAAAAUUUAAUUUUCUCGAAUUUAAAAGAGUUAAAUAAAUAUAAUUUUAUUGUAAAAUAAAUAUUUAAAAUAUUUAUUUAGUAAUGAAAUGUUAAUCGUUUUUAAAUAUAUCUAGUUUUUUUAGAAAAAAAUUUAAUUUUUUUAUUAUUAAUAAUUUUUAUUUAUUUAUAAAAUUUUUAUUAAUAGGAAAAAUUUAAAGGGAUAAGCUUUUAAAUUAAAAUUUAGAAAUAAAUAUUUAAUAAUAUUAUAAAUAGAAUUUAAAGUUUUUAAUUUUAAAAUAAUGUUAUAAUUAAUUUUGGUAUAUAAAUAUUAUUUAUAUUUAAUUUAAAUAUUUUAUAAAAAUAUAAUUUUAAAUUAUAAAAAUUUAGAAAUUAUGAUAAAAUUAGUAUAAUUUAUAAUUUAUUUUUAAUAAAUUAUUUUAAGAUUAAGUAAAGGAAUUCGGCAAAAAAUUUUUCACCUGUUUAUUAAAAACAUGUCUUUUUGUUAAAAAUUUAAAGUCAGGCCUGCCCACUGAGAUUUAAAUGGCCGCAGUAUUUUGACUGUGCAAAGGUAGCAUAAUCAUUAGUUUCUUAAUUAGAAGCUGGAAUGAAGGGUUUAAUGAAAAAAUAACUGUCUCUAUUUAAAUAUAUUAAAAUUUUAUUUUUAAGUUAAAAAGCUUAAAUAUUUUUAAAAGACGAGAAGACCCUAUAGAGUUUUAUAUAAAAUAAAAAUUUAAAUUUUUAAUAUUAUUUAAUUUUGAUUUUAUUUUAUAAUUUAUUGGGAGGAUAUAAAAAUUAAAUAAACUUUUAUUAAUUAAUACCAUAAAUUUAUGAAUUAUUGAUCCAUAUUUAAUGAUUAUAAGAUAAAAUUACCUUAGGGAUAACAGCGUAAUUUUUUUUGAGAGUUCAAAUCGAUAAAAAAGAUUGCGACCUCGAUGUUGGAUUAAAAUUAAUUUUUGGUGUAGAAGCUAAAAAUUUUAGGUCUGUUCGACCUUUAAAAUUUUACAUGAUCUGAGUUUAAACCGGUGUGAGCCAGGUUGGUUUCUAUCUUUAAAUUAUUCUUAUAUUUUAGUACGAAAGGACCAAAUAUAUAGUAAAAUAUUUAAAUAUUGAAUAUUA
rnacentral:rRNA from 1 species